AUGUGGCCCGCUUCCAAGUGCGUCUGCGAUCCGGCCACCCACGCCGGGUCCUUCAAGUGCCGCUUCCACCGCACCAACUCCCAGGGUCAGGGAAGCCGCCCUUCUUCGCCCCCUUCACUGGCCGCGGCCAAUGCGGUGCCGCGGCACCCGGCCUUGCCGUUCUCGUCCUCCGGUACCGUCACGACCCAGUGA
rnacentral:rRNA from 1 species